UGGGGAAUAUUGCACAAUGGGCGCAAGCCUGAUGCAGCCAUGCCGCGUGUAUGAAGAAGGCCUUCGGGUUGUAAAGUACUUUCAGCGGGGAGGAAGGGAGUAAAGUUAAUACCUUUGCUCAUUGACGUUACCCGCAGAAGAAGCACCGGCUAACUCCGUGCCAGCAGCCGCGGUAAUACGGAGGGUGCAAGCGUUAAUCGGAAUUACUGGGCGUAAAGCGCACGCAGGCGGUUUGUUAAGUCAGAUGUGAAAUCCUCGGGCUCAACCUGGGAACUGGAUCUGAGACUGGCAAGGUGGAGUCUCGGAGAGGGGGGUAGAAUGCCAGGUGUAGCGGUGAAAUGCGUAGAGAUCGGGAGGAAUACCGGUGGCGAAGGCGGCCCCCUGGACGAAGACUGACGCGCAGGUGCGAAAGCGUGGGGAGCAAACAGG
rnacentral:rRNA from 1 species